ensembl:lncRNA
CACAGUCAGAGUGAGGGGGGAAAACGGAUAUACGCAGAUAUUUAUUUUAACCAACUGGGCUGAUACUGAAACACUAACAUCCUCUGAAGCUGAGCAGGAAAACAAGCCUUUAUGCUUCAAGUAUUAUACUCAUUUUGGGGCUCUGUCACAUCUCGUUCGUGUGUGGUAUUUCUGAUCACGUCACAUUCACUUCGUGUAAGCCGAGGGCAGUUUCCAGUUGAUCUGAGGAUCCUAAACUGGAGCAUUGUGACCGGUUGCAUUUUGAAACUUUACUCUUCAUCCUACUGAAAAACGAUGUUUGAGAGUGUGUCCAUUCGAGUAAUGUGUUUGAUGGUGUUUUUCCAUCAAGAGAGAGAAAACCACAAUGUUAAAUCUAGCUAUAUACUGUUAAAAUGCUUGAUAUUUCUUCAUUAAUAAAUUAAACACUGUAAUCAUUGACCAAUCACUGUGAUCUAAAACACUCCAGUGUAUUAUUCCUUAUGUGAUCUGGAGUGAAUAACAGCACGGAAUCUCUUAAUGCCUAAUAUUGCUUUAGGCAUUAAGACACUUUAGACACUUGUAGAGAUCUUGGUCCACUACUCCCAGAAAAAAAAAAAAAAUAUAUAGCUUAAUAAUUGAAAAGUCCCUUUUCAAUUCACGCCACAGGUUUAAAUAUGGAGACUGAGAUGAUCAUUGCAAAACACUGGGCCUUAUCAUGCUGGAUACGAACAAAUUUAUUCACAAAUUGUUCAUAGGAGUGUAUCCUGUUAGUUUAGAAAAAAUGUUUGUAUCUUAUCAGAG